rnacentral:lncRNA from 1 species
UUUAAACUCUGGCUAGAGUUUCAAGGACUACCUUGACUAGAAGUGGUGAGAGAGGGCAUCCUUGUCCUGUUCCUGUUCUGAGAGGAAACGCUUUCAAUCAGAAAUGCGCUUUGAUGUGGAAGAUGUCCUAGGUCCUCCACUUUCUGCCCCCACAGCACAUGUGGGAUGUCUCUUGGGAAGGUGGGGGUCCUCUCCCAAGGCUGCCCCACCUGGCAGAUGGCCUAGUUCCCCUGCAGAGGUCGUAUCGGGGAAUGGGAUGAGCAGCCACCCAGCGGGCUCAUAGCCAGCACCAGGGGAGGCAGGUGUGGGCAGCCUAAGGUGCUCAGCAGCUGCCUGGGUAUUGCCGCCUCCCGCCUGCUGCUUCCUGAACAGUCUGCUCCACCAGGACCAAGACCAAGGGCCUGGAGCAGCCACCGCAGAGGCCAUCCCAGCCUCUGGUCACCCUCCCACUCUGGCGCUCACUGCCCUAUGCCCUCGCUGCCACCACCGGCCUGGAGCUCUUCGCUGCAGCCACCAGACUCCCCACAUGGUCGCCAGAAGCCCCCUUCACCACCCUGUAGCGGGAUUCCUGUUACCGCAGCAGGAUGAAGAUGCUCACCACUGGACGCCUCUGUGGCCUCCGCCCCACUUCCAGAGUCUUCUGGUGCCACCACCACCACACAGCAACCAAACUCCCAAACCCCAGCUGGACUCCUAUGCUGCCCACUGAGGCCCCAAUGUCAAUGCCCUUCACCCCACAAUGGAUGCCUGACCCCUAUGCCCCACACUGGAUCCCAAUGAAGGUGCGUGUUGCUGCUGCCACCACCAACUCCAGAGAUCCUACUGUCACCAGACUCCAUCAUAGAUGCAAGACAGCGAUACUCAGCACUGGAUGCCAAAUUCACCCUCUGCAGCCGGACUCCUGUCAGCAGUGCAGGAUGAAACCGAUCAUGGCAACAUCCCUCUGUUGUCACCACUGCUGCUUCUGGACUCUUCCACUGUGAGUAUGCAGCAACGGAUCUCCCAAACCACAGCUGGAUGCCAACACCUCUGCAGACACCACCCCCCAUGCCAAUGCUCAAGUCCGGACCUCGGAGGCCCUUUGCCCUAUGCCUGAAGCAGUUACAUGUUGUUGCUGCUGCUGCCACCAGAUACUGCCACUCCACAAUGCCCCUUCAGCAACUCCACCCCACCACCGCUGCUGUGCUGCCCAAGACCACAGAAGUUGGGAAGUUGGACAUCCUCCAUCACAGUCACCUCACCAGCGUCCACCGCUUGCCACCUGCCUUCCCUCUUCCAGGAACAGCCACCACUCCUUCUGGGUGCUUGAGGAGUUGUUGUGCUAACUCAGGGAACUCAUCCAAGGAAAACAAGUGAGUACUUUAAAUAAAGGUUGCAGUCCUCACAGCAGGCAGUGGGCGGGGCUAGGUGGGUCCAGCCUGCUGGUUAGGGGGCCGGGUAGAACCUGGGGGGGGGGGGCUGCUAGCCUGGUCUGGACCUUGACCCUGUGGUGCAAGCUGGAGAGGGAUCUCUGGCUGCUCUGGGAGCCCAGCCUGGAAGCAGCUUCCCACCCUCACACUCCUCUCUGAAGGGGACUCUGGAUUCCAGGGACAGAGCCAUCUGGGCUCUGGGCCUCUGGGUAGUGGUGUGAGGCCCUGGUACAUUGCAGCAGUCUGGUGACAGCCAGAAUGGUCAGACUCCAGCCACCUGGAUGUGGGGAAAAGCAGCCUCUUGGGAAAAUACCCUCUUAGAUCUGCCAAACUUAGCCUGACAUUGGCUUCUUCUAAGAGAUUAUCAAGAAAGGAAAAAUAUGUUACCAAGUUUUGUCUUGUGCAAAGGGUACUGUGGGGAGAGGCAAACACAUCAGAGUUGGUACAGCUGGAUUCAAAUCGCUCUUAACUGUGUGACCUUGACCAGGGAACAGAACUAGUUACAACCUCGGUUUUGCAUCUGGUAAAAGAAAACAGGGAGGAUGAUAAGCCAUGAGUUAAAUUAAGUUGUUCUGCAGUACCUCAACUUGGGAGCUAGGUAGGCAUUCAGCAUUAUUUCCAUGCAGAAAUAUAUUCUCAGACUAAAGGUGACACACUUAGAAAGGCACCUUUGGAAGACUACUGACCUCUGAGGUAGGGAGUUGAAAUUUACUUCAUGUUUUUAGAUGAAAUAAUAAUAUAUGGAAGAUCAUAAGCCAAAGCAUGAAAUGUUGGGUCAGGCUCUUGAAAUUAUAAGCAGUUUUCAAAUUUGUUUAAAGUUACAUUGAGAUAAAUCUGUGUAGUUCAAGCCUCCUGGGAUAUCCCCCUCCUCUGCCACACACACAAGGAGCACUGUCCACAGUUUUGUACUCCUCUGUACAGUGUCACCAAUUAUAUCAUUAUAUGUAUAUACAAAUACAUAUUAUGUAAUAUUUUGUUCCUUUUGGUUUGUUUUGGGACCUUCUGAAAAUAGAAUCUCAUAUACAUUCUUUUGCACCCCUUCAGCUGACCAUCAGGAAGAAGGUAACACCAGAGAAUCUUGAGGAUCAGAAGGACACCAGCCCUGCUCUGGUCACCCUGGAAGCUGACUGGCCUGCACACACUGAAGCUUGAGGAAACAGCAGCCUGCUUCAGCCACUUGGGGGCUGGCUGAUCAACACAAGGUGGAAGAUUAACUAACCAACAGACAAAUGGACUGUUUCAUCCUCUAAGAGGACUCUCAUACUGUGACAAAUUGCCACCCCUUACUUCCAUCACAUACAUAGUCCUUUCCUUGGUCUUUACUACAGGACUGAUAACAAUCAAUCAAUCAUAUAGCUAACCCAUAAUGGGGGGGGGCAAGGGAAGAUUGGAGGGACUUUGGAUUGAGCAGAGAGGUGUGAGGGAGGGAAGAUAAUGGAAUGAGAUGAAUUUUUUUUUUACCCUGUGUACAUUUAUGAUUGCAGGAAUAGUGUGACUCUGUGUUUAAUAGUCAAAAUGCAUUCUGCUGUCAUAUAUAACAAAUUGAAGAAAAGAAAAAUUCAUAAAGGACUAAGGCUUAAAAGGAAGUCUGGGCACUUUUCUGGCCAUGAAAAUAUGUACACUUUUCUUGUAUAAAAUUAAAGCUUAUUAAUUAAAUUGCUUUUUUAAAACACUAGACCAUGUACUAGUUUAAACCUGAAAGAGCAUUAAGUCUUAGGAACUAAGCUCACUAUUUGGAGGAUGGUUUUCUAUUCUAUUUCUUUUCUAUUUCUAUUUGGUGUUUUCAAAAGUUUAAUUGAUAUAGUAUGGAUUAUGGUAUUAACUUGUUUAUUGGUUCCAUGUUUGUGUCCCCUUUACAUUGAAACUCUUGGGUCAACUAUAGAAGCAGCUAUUAAAAUGGGGGAGAGGGAGGGAGGGAGAAGGAGAGACACAGAGAGAGAAAUUAAGAUUAUGACAUUAUAUAAAACUUUAAGCCAAGAAGCUAAUGACAUUUUUUGAUUUAAAGGAUUAAAUAAUGAGCAUCAAAGAGGUAAUGAUGUAAUCCCAAAGAUUCCAAAUGAUGUAGUUCCCCAAAGACCCCACACCUUCAUUGUAAUAUGUAAGCCCAGAGAGCUCAUUGUGGUUUGAGCUCCUCUUUUUUGUUGUAAAGGUCAGGUUUCUCUUUCUUGUAGAAGUUAGGUCUGCAGGGCUGGGGUUGUGGCUCUGCAUUAGAACACUUGCCUAGCAGGUGUGAGGCACUGAGUUUGAUUCUCUGCACCACAUAAAAAUAAUAUAAAAUAAAAUAAAGUAAAAUAAAGAUAUUGUGCCCAUCUACAACUUAAAAAAAAAGUUAUGUCUGCAAUCAAGCUUAUUGAUGUGUAAAAGUUAUUGUUUCUCUUUUCUUAGUAAAUUUAACUUGUGAAAACUCUGUCCAUUCUAAGAGCAUGGAAGAAAAAGUAACUGUUUUGUUAGCCAUUGUGUUGUAUAACCACCCACUGAGUAGAAAUCUCAGAGAAUUUCCAUACCUGGGGCCCAGAGAUUUUUUGGCGUUAGCCCCUCUGGAUUGCACCAGUUUAAAUAAAUCUUCCUGCAAAUUCCUCAGGUGCUCAUCCUCAUCUCUCCUACAUUAAUACCUGCUUGAAAUGCUAGAAUGUCCCAAUUCUUCAAGGGCACACAGAGACAGUCUCUCUGACUCUGCCACAGUAUGAAUUCUAUGCAAAGUCAUUAAUCACAAAAAACUAAGGGGAGAUUACACUAUAGUGACCUCCUGGAAGUAAAUUCAGUGUUUCAUAAUUAAACUUGUAUACAUAUAUAGAAUUGCUAUGAUAUAACCCACAAAUAUAUAGAAAUAAUAUAUCUAAAUAAGCAUGUUUUAUGAGAAAUCUGAAUGCCAUGUUUGUAUUUUGUGUUGUUUCUAAUAUUAUAC